UUACGGGCAUAUCAUGUUGAAACACCGGUUCUCGUACAAUCACCGAAGUUAAGCAAUGUUGAACCUAGUCAGUACCUAGAUGGGUAGCCGUUUGGGAAUACCAGAUGCUGUAA